UAAUAUGUGUGGGUGGAUGGUGUUCAGCACCAAGGACAAUUUUUGCGUGAAUGAUGUUCAGCACCAAGGACAGGUAAGUGUGUGU
rnacentral:pre_miRNA from 1 species